GGAAAUCCAGACAAUUCAUCAUAUAUGUGGUCUGGGGCGCGACUUGGCUGACUGGGCACCACUUUGCUUCUCUGACAUACUGCAGGUAGGAAAACGAACUGAAGAAACGUGGUUCAGCAGGGUUUGUAUCAAUCAUGAGCGUGCACAUGUGAGAAAACAGUGAUUCGUAGCGGGGGACAGCGAUACGUGAUGCCGCAUGAAAGCGCGUGACAAUCGUGUCAGUUCAUAACAGCUUUUGUGU